AUAGAUAUAGAAUUAAAUACAUAGAUAUAAUAAAUGUGUAAGUUUAUAUAUGAACUUAUAUAUAAGCUUAUGUAUUUAUCAUAUUUAUAUAUUCCUCCAUUAACUCAACAAAUAUUUGGUACCUACUAUGGGCCAGAUCCUUGUUGGUAGCAUUUGCUGGAGGGGGCAGGAAAUGAAUUAAUAAAUGAAUGAUUCAGUUCUGUGCUAAAAGCAGCUCAUUGCUUAGUGGAAAAGAAAAGAACUGAACCAUUAAUUCUGCUUCAGUGAGGAAAAAUGCAAAGUAUAAAAUGUUAUUAAAACGAGAAUAGAGAGUUAUACUCCUGACCAUCAACUCUGUGUCAUUUCUUCAGGUCAUCAUGAAUCAUAUGCCCUGUCUUUUAUUUACCAUCACCUUGUGUUGGGGGGGAUAAAGACAAAACAAAUCUUACCUUAAAUGUAUAUAGUGAUUGUAGGUUGCGUCUUAGUUUCAGAAAUGUAUGUGAAGAAAAAUCAAAAUGUAGGCGGGUGUGGUAGUGCACACCUGUAAUCCCAGCAACUUGGGAGGCUGAGGCAGGAGGAUUGCAAGUUCAAAGCCAGCCUCAGCAAAAGUGAGGCCUUAAGCAACUCAGUGAGACCCUGUCUCUAGAUUAAACACAAAAUAGAGCUGGAUGUGGCUCAGUGGGCGAGUGCCCCUGAGUUCAAUCCCAGAUACCCACAUACACACAAAAAGACCUUUCACAACAGGAUGACUAAUUAUUUUGAUUUAAAUGCCCAUAGAGAACCAAAUAAAUUCUUGCAUGUACACACACAAGACUUAGCUUGCUUAUACUUAUUGGAAACACUUCCUUCCAAGGAUGGCUCAGGCUCAUCCCACCAGCUGUAGGAUUGCAAAAGUGAGGAUUUUUUUUAAAAGGAAUUUCAGUGUAAGGGAAAAGAAAACUGUUCCCCCUAACUUUAAUGUACAUCACAUUCACCUGGAGGGCUUGUUAAAACACCAAGUCUUAACCUCUCUUCCCUAAUUUCUGGUUUAUUAGGUCAAGAAUGGGGUCUAGGAACUUUUUUUUGGCACCAGUGUCACUUUUAGUGUCGGUUUCCAAGGCCUCCCUUAAUUAUGUCUGCCUGAAUACUUGAGAACAUCUCCUGUGUCCUUGACCAACCGGAAUCUCUUCUCUCUCUGCCUCUUGGUAUCCGGUUCACUGUGCUGGACUCAAGAACUUACUUUGAGAACUGACGGGUUCCCUGAGGGGUGCUAAGAACUUAUGCCAGCACCAUCAGAUGGGCAGAGUGGUCUAUGGGUACCAGCUUUGUGGCAUUUAGGUGUCCCACCAUCCAUGUGAGAUGCGGACUGUGGUCAUUCUUGCAUCCCAGAGGAGGAAACUGAAGCAAAGAGUUUAAGUGACCUUCCCUCUUAGCUGAACAAGAAUUCAGUCCAGCCCGUGGGACCCGAGUGUAGGCACUUGAAAGCCCAGUUGUCCAAUCCUUGGGUCAACAGCAAGAGAAAGCAAACUAGAGCAACCCCAUCCACCACGAUCCAGAAGGCCCCCCUAUUUUCCCCUCAGACGCCUGCUUCCCUCCUAAUCUAAAAAAAAAAAAAAAAAAAACAAACAAACCAGAAUACCUAUUAAUCAGAAACAAAGAAUCCCUGCCAUCGCAUGUUGCUGUUUGUGCCAGCAUCGCCAGGGAGAAGCUCCACCAUCCAUUAUUUUGAUGGGUGCUGAAGGGAGGAGAAGGAUGAGAUCAGCCCUCAAUGGAUCCAGAAAUUAUUGGCAAGUACCACCAGAAGGGGUGUGUUUCACUGAGGAGAAGCCACGUGUGUGGUGAGCAGUUAUCUGCUUUGAAAUGCAACCUCAGACAAAAGUCUUACAAAGGGAAAAAAUGAACAUCAGGAAUGGAGAAGGAAGAUGACCAGGGGGAAAGGCUGUGCUCUCCCUUAUCGGAGAUCUCCAGGGUUGCGCCAUAUUUCUGCAAUACGAGAGGACUGAAGUGCAGAUGACUUCCAACCUUCUGAUCCAGUUGUAGAUGGACACAUUACCUUUAUUUAUGGAUUAUGUGGUGAUGAUCGAACUCAGUGCCUCAGACAUGGUAGGAACGUCCACCAUCCCAUCAGCAAAAGAGUGUGUAAGCAAGAAAAUGAAGCUGUGUUUAAGGAGUCCUCCUCAUCUGCUGUGUGCUCUUAUCCAGUCAAAAACCUCUCUGGGCUUUUUCUAUCACCUGGAAAAUGGAAGAAAGAUUAUUUCUGUCCUCUCCUGACUCUGAGAUAUGGACCAAGUGAAUGAGUUCAUGUUUCCACCACGCUUUGAAGUUGUCAGAAGACAGAUUAUGUGACUCUGAAGUCUUGGGUCUUCCCAUGAAAAUGUGGCUCAGAAAUUCCUCCCUGGAUAUGACCCACUUAAUAUCUAUCUGAUGGCCUACAGCUUUGCUAUAACACAGCCAUGGCUGCAGAAGGAAAAAGAGAUUAAAAAAAAAAUCCAGAACUGAUCAUUUUCUUUCAAAGUUGAGUUUCCUUAAGUGUAAAUUAUAUGGCUUCUGUGAAGGUUAAAAGUAUCAUCAAAGCUGAAAGAAGGUUGGUUGAAAUAGUCCACUUGGCAAAAAUGGCUUCCACAGGACAACAACUAGAGCUGCUUUCAAAGAGACUUAAAGCCACCUUGUUGGGAAAGGAGCAAAUGGCUCCGUGGGGUUGAAAUAUCUUGGCUCCUUAAUAGUGGUGAAAGUUGAUCCCAGUGCCAGAUUCUGUUCCAGUGGAUAAAGUCUGAACUUGAAAGAUGUCACAGAAUUCCCCAAAGCUAACAUUCCUAAGAAAGACUGCAUUGUCAGCAGGGGAAAAGUGACCCCUGUUCUCACCUUGGUUAUACCUCUGGGACAGAAAGACCCAAGCCAAGAUGUCCUCUGUCCAUCUGGAGCUGAGAUGAGGCCCAGAGAAGCAGGUGAGACUCUGGACAGACCAUCGCCCAGUUAGAAUCACCCCCCACUGAAUUCUAACCUGAAGGACACGGAAGAACAGUGGACUCAAUUCCAAUAUGAAAGGGAAAAGUAGCCAGUGUGGUGGUGCAUGCCUGUCAUCCCAGUGGCUCUGGAGGCUGAGGCAGGAGGAUUGUGAGUUCAAAGCCAGCCUCAGCAACUUAGUGAGGCCCUAAGCAAUUUAGCAAGACCCUGUCUCUAAAUAAAAUAUAAAAAAGGUCUGGGGAUGGGGCUCAGUGGUUAAGUAACCCUGGGUUCAAUCCCCAGGAACAAAAAGAAAAAAAAAAAAAAGAAAAAGAAGAAGAGAGCAAAUGUCGGUUGCCCCAAAGGCAAUCAAAACCAACAGAUCCCAUUCUGAGCAAGAGUUUAGGAUGAAGGAAGCCAUUAAUAAAUGUGUCCACAAAAGAACAAGUACCUGGAAUCAUCCUGAUGGAUCAUUUUUUCUGUUUUCUUCUGGCAAAGUCCCUGAGGUUCAUUUAUCCUCCAAGCUUCUGGUAAGCCUCUACCCUGUGCCUGAGACUUUGCAAAAACUAAGGAAAGAGAAGCAGCAAGACCCAUAGAGAGCCAGUAGCUCAAUGUCACCCAAAAGCCAAAAGAUGCCACGAGUUCUUCAACUUCUCUCCAACAACAUUUUUAUAAUCUAUCAUUGUCCUCAAGUAAGGCUGGGACUGCCCUCUCUCUGUAUUCGGGCUCCUUGGUCUCCACAGUCUCUCUUGACUGGAAGGCGUAUUAUGAGACGGAAUGUCCCAUCGGAGAGGCAGGUGAAGAUGAUGGCUGCUGCAGAAGUCAUCCCUUAAUUUGGUGGCUCUAAAGAUGGACAUUUUGCUGAAAAAAAAAAAAAAAGUGGAACCCAGUGGCACCAAGCCGCCAUGUGGAUUCCUCCCCGUGGAUGGCCCCUGGGGAGUCCUCUCUGGUCUUGUAGCACGGUUGGGUACACAUUUCUGGAAGAGUCACAGCUGGAAGAGGAGGUCGCCGCUUGUGUUCAGUCUACCAUCUUGAAAUGGAGAGUAUUCAUUGAAAAGUCAAGAAAAAUGUCUCUGUCUUUCCUCCGGCUCCCCCUUCCUCCUAUUCCUUCUUCUUUUUCCUUAUUUUUGGGGGGGCGCAUAGUGGGGAUCAAACUCCAGGCAUUUUACCACAUCCCCAGCCCUAUUUUGUAUUUUUUUUUUUAUUUAGAGACAGGGUCUACACUGAGUUCCUUAGGGCCUCACUGAGUUGCUGAGGCUGGCUUUGAACUUGGGAUCCUCCUGCCUCAGCCUCCUGCACCACUGGGAUGAGAGGCAUGGGCCACUUCACCCGGCCCACUCCUUCUUUUGUACCAAGGUAGAGGCUGUGAGUUGAAGUGAGGCAGAGGAAAGAUCUGGAAAACUUGCAGGGAUGAAGUAAGAUGAGAGUCAAGACAAGAGCACUUGAGCUGUCAGCCAGCGUGUGAUAUUCUGGACCUGCUGCACACGGUGUAUCUAUAUUUGUUUUCUCAUUUUAAAAUGUUAGUUUUAUAAAAAUUAACACUGUAGGUUGGUUUCAGCCUCAAUGAUACGUGAUCCCAUGAAAAAUCCUCUUUAUCUUCACGAUGAUGUCUUCAUGUUCAGCUGUUAGAAUUAUACAUCUCUAGGUUUGUAGUGGGAAAUGGGGGUCAGGACACCAAGAUCUGGAAGCAACCCUCUAUUAGUUGUGCCAUGACCUAGAGGGAUAAUUCCCAAAGUCUGAGCCCCGAGCACAGCAGGGCUUUUGCUUUUAUACAUAAGCAAGUUUGGGGCACAUCAAGGCAAGGGAGUUGGAGCAAUUCUAUUGGAGGGUGCAUUCGACAUUCCUUAUUUGGGUCCUAGUUCCUCAAUAGCCUGGGGACCCUAAGCUCAUACCGCUUAGGGACUUCCGAAGUUAAAGCAAAGAAGGCGGAACAUUCUAGAACUGCUGUGAGAGUUUGUAGCUUAAAUUUCUGCAUCUUGUCCCACUCCCCAUGAUAUACAACAGCCCAGCUAGAACCAAAUUAGAAAAUUGAUUUAUAAAAAAAAUGGCAGCAUUUUGGUCCUCCACAGCUCAGCCAAUCCCCUUUGGAUAUUUCUGUCUCUGUGAUUUCCAAUCUUUCUGCUAAUGAACGUGGCGAGGCUGUGCUCUGGAAUGACUAGAAAUGCUGUGGCGUAGGCACUGUGGUCUGACAGAGCCUCCCCAUCCCACCUGCAGAACAGGAACUCCCCCUCCCCCUCUCACCUGCAGAACAGGAACUCCCCCUCCCCAGCCCCGUGGGGUAGCUGCAUCUCACUUCCUGGCCUGCGCAGGCCUGACCCAUCUUUGAGCAGAAGCACAGCAGAAAAGCAGGAGUCCCAUGUCACCUUCUAAGCCGUUUCCUUAUUUACAUGUCACUGUGAUCAGCAAUUCCCAGGACAACACAAUCAGCCAUCUUACCCAGGCCAAUAAACAAAGACAAUAAUAAAUAAAUAAAUAAUCCUUCUCAGGGUCCCUUUCUCAAGGUCCUUCUCCCAGGACGACUUUCAUCUGUCCAGAAGCAAACUUUAAGCACAAAGAUAAGGAUGUUGUUUGUCUCUGCCCGGGUUCCUGGGCAGUAUACAUGUUUGAUCUGCCAAAACUUUGAAAAGGAAGUAGACUGAACUGAGUUUCCCCAGAACUGUAUUCCACGGCAUGUCCGGCUCCUCGCAGGGCUUGUGGAAGUUCCACUGUCACUGGCCUCUGCAAUCCGAGCAAGGAGACAGCUGCAAAAAGCAUCUUCUAGCCAAAACGUGAUUUGGGAAAGGUCAUUUUAUUACAUGAUUUAUUUAUACUGUUUCUUCAUGGUACAAAGCGUUCUGAUGUGUACACAGAGUCCAGAGAAAGAGAAGAAAAAUUUUAAGAAAACCUCCAGGCCUACAACUCAGAGGCACCAGAGAGUCCAUGGAGAUAUUUGGGGUAGAUUCUGAAAGUUGGGUUAAGUUUUUUCAAUUAUAGCUUCUUUGAAUCCAUCAAAUUCAAAAGGCAGUUCUAUAUGAUAAGAUCGAUCUUCUACCAGAUCCUGGGAGGCUUCAUCAGUGAGAAACAGGAUUAGAAGUAGGGCUUGCUUUUAUACUCAGCAAAAACAAUCAAGAUAUUCUUCCCCUUUCAGAAAAGAAACAAAAGGCAGCUUCAUCAAAUUUCCAAUGGUUUAUCUUUUUUGGAUGGUAUGUUGCCAUUUUAAAGGAUUUAGGUUUUCUCUUCUGGAAUUCUCUUCCCCAAAGAGGCAUGUUAGCUAUAUAUUCAGCAAGAUUACAAUAUUUAAUAUGGAAAGUUGAAUGUCUGUGUAAAUGAAAACAGAUGGACAGUUUUGUUUAUCUUCUCUUGGCUUUAUCAUUGUGUAGUAAGCACGUGGGUGGGAUUUUAAAGUCCAAGUCUGUGAUGGUGACAGGGAGAACAUACUAGUAAAUACUUCUUGGACCAUAUAUUUCAUGUGACCUCUCCCUGAUGUGAAGUCCCAGUUAAAUGGGUUGAGUUUUUUGAUUAUUUGUUUUUAUCUUUUGCUUAAUAAUUAUUCUUUUUUUUUUUUUUUGGCGGGGAUGGGUGGGUAUUAGAGAUUGAAUUCAGGGGCACUCAGCCACUGAGCCACAUCCCAACCCUGUUUUGUGUUUUAUUUAGAGACAGGGUCUCACUGAGUUGCUUAGGGCCUCACUUUUGCUGAGUCUGGCUUUGAACUCUCGAUCCUCCUGCCUCAGCCUCCUGAGCCGCAUGCCCCAUUGCAUCCAGCUGCAAUUCCUGUUUGUUUAUUGCCAGGGUGCCUCAGACAGUGGGAUCAGGUGUUUUGAAAAUGAGAACCAAAGGAAGUUUUUCCUCUUCCUUCAGGGUGCUGAGACUGUUAAACCUUUCUGUCUCUCUCUUAUUUUUUUCCUGCUUGCUGAAUAGUAUUUUCUAGAAAAGAAGCGAGACAAGUCAAAUCUAUUGAGAGAGUCAAGAAUAUGUCUUCCCUGGUGAUGGGUCCACUCAACCCAGCCAGAACCAGACAUCUAAUUUUUACAAAUGUUUAUGUAAGUAGUCACUUCCAGUAUGUUCUAGCUAAUUGUAAGUUAUUUGGUCAUGCGCAUUCAUUCCAUCAUUGUAUCUUCAGAAGUGGCUCUCGAGGGAAUGCAGGGGGCUCGGAUCACUCUGAUAAUGUCUGUGGUUACGUUUGACUGAUUUGCCUCUUAGCUGCACCAUGUCUCCAUGGAAUUCCAUUUGAGAGAGAUUUAAAAAUUAAACAUCAUGAAUAUUCAACAAAGCUGCCUGAAAGUUCAGCUCCAAGUGACUUAAUCACCGUCUUUGCAAGUUUUCCUUGAAGAAGCCCUUGUUGGACCCAGGGAAGCAUUUUUAUUCUAGAUUGAAAAAAAAAUUAAAAGUUAAAUGUGAAUAUGGUGUUGAACAAUUCUAUGAAAUGUUGAAUUUUAAUGUCCCUGGAAAAACGUUUCACCCUGGCAGGGCUUUUGCUUUUUGAAGACAAGGUUGUUUCUUAAUGUCAUCUCUGCUGGUGGACACACUGCAUUAGUUUCCAGGGAACAUAGGGCCAAUUCAGAACAGAUAUGCAUUAAGUCCAUUUUAGUCUUCUUUGCUCUGAUUCAGAAGAGAGAAUCGUAAGUCACAAAAAGUCCCUUUCACAUCCUAAUAGCUGGAAUAGAACGAACAAAGGUGUUCAGAAAGAUUACCCCAAAGUUGAAAAAAAGAGUACCAUGAGCCCCUUGGAAUUAUUAUCCACUAUUCGACCUCAAGCCUCCUGAACAAACAAUGUAGUAGUCUUAAAGGCAAAUGAGAAAAUUAUUUAAUUACUGAAGGUCUGCUCACUUGCCAAACAAGCAAGAGAAUCAAAACUGAGGUCAAUAGUAAGGGGCUGUGAGUUGGCGAUGUCAUUAGCCAGAGUCCCUUUGCCUAAGCUCCUGGUAAUUCAAAGACUAGGCCAUACUGGAUCAAGUCCAAAGCCAGGAGGUUUUGUACCAAUAUCUUCCCUGUGGUGGACAUUGCGGCUUUCCACCUAUAAUCAAAGAACAAUAUAUCCAUUCACCGGAGUGUAAUUAAUUAGAGAUGUCACUGCUGAAGAACCUAUACUAACAAUAGCACAGUACAGGUGUUCUUCAUUUUAUAGUUGAUAAAUACUUUUUCAUAAUCUUAGGACCUUGACCUAGGAGGGGAGACACUAUUACCCGAGUUUUGCACAUAAGUAUAUACAUGCCCAGAGAGGUCAAAUAACUUGUCCCCAAAGUUCAAGUCUUUGGUGAGAUGUUGUGCAAGGCUGUAUACUUUAACACACUUAGAGUUCAGUCACAGUUCUGGUACUUACUAAAUAAUCUCAGAAAGGUCACUUAACUUAUCUGAGCCUCAGUUUCUUCAUUUUUUAGGGGGGGGUGAGGGUACUGGGGAUUCAACUCAGGGGCACCCGACCACUAAGCCACAUCCCCAGCCCUAUUUUGUAUUUUAUUUAGAGACAGGGUCUCCCUGAGUUGCUUAGGGCCUUGCUAAGUUGCUGAGGCUGGCUUUGAACUUGCGAUCCUCCUGCCUCAGCCUCCCAUGCCACUGGGAUCACAAGUGUGCACCCCUGCACCUGGCUUCAGUUUCUUCAUCUUUGCAGAGGAGAAAACACUAAUGAGCAUUAAAAUACAUCAUUCAUUUAAAGCAAUUUAUACCUCGGCUGGCUCACAAGGAAACUUCCGUAUAUAGAAAAUGAGAUGAUAACAUAAAAAUCAAUUUCAAAAGAUUCUCCAACACAUUCAAGGGGAUGUAAUGGAACAAUAGAAAGUUCGGUUCCAGCUCCAAUCUCUGCAAAGGUAAAUUACAUUGAGAACUCAAGCGAGAAGGAUGAUGAGUUACAGGCAUAGUAUGGUAUAUGAUAUUACAAGUAAUAUAUGAGUCAUCGUGUUUACUGUGAUUAAUAAGGCGGAAAGGUGGACACACAUCAGAAAACUUCUGAACAACAGUAAACCUACUGCUAGCUAGAUCCGUUCAGUUGAAGGAAAACCAGUGGACAAUCUGGUUUAUGUAAGUGUCAGGGUUUGGCUGUGAGGUGUUUCCCAGAAGCUCCUGGGUUAAUGCGGGAAUAUCCAGAGGUGAAAUGACUGGAUUGUGAGAGCUGUCACCUGAUCAGUCCAUCCUAGGUGAAUGGACCAGCUGGGUGGUAAAGGCAGG